rnacentral:rRNA from 1 species
GGUAUUGCCUUAGUAGCGGCGAGUGAAGCGGCAAAAGCUCAAAUUUGAAAUCUGGCGCCUUCGGUGUCCGAGUUGUAAUUUGAAGAUUGUAACCUUGGGGUUGGCUCUUGUCUAUGUUUCUUGGAACAGGACGUCACAGAGGGUGAGAAUCCCGUGCGAUGAGAUGCCCAAUUCUAUGUAAGGUGCUUUCGAAGAGUCGAGUUGUUUGGGAAUGCAGCUCUAAGUGGGUGGUAAAUUCCAUCUAAAGCUAAAUAUUGGCGAGAGACCGAUAGCGAACAAGUACAGUGAUGGAAAGAUGAAAAGAACUUUGAAAAGAGAGUGAAAAAGUACGUGAAAUUGUUGAAAGGGAAGGGUUUGAGAUCAGACUCGAUAUUUUGUGAGCCUUGCCUUCGUGGCGGGGUGACCCGCAGCUUAUCGGGCCAGCAUCGGUUUGGGCGGUAGGAUAAUGGCGUAGGAAUGUGACUUUACUUCGGUGAAGUGUUAUAGCCUGCGUUGAUGCUGCCUGCCUAGACCGAGGACUGCGAUUUUAUCAAGGAUGCUGGCAUAAUGAUCCCAAACCGCCCGUCUUGAAACCACGGGAC